rfam:Candidatus Chloracidobacterium thermophilum B chromosome 1, complete sequence.
CCCGGCGUUGAAACGCCGGGCUAAAUUCAAUCGUCGCUAACGCGACG